rnacentral:rRNA from 1 species
UACGAAGGGGGCUAGCGUUGUUCGGAAUUACUGGGCGUAAAGCGCACGUAGGCGGAUUGUUAAGUUAGGGGUGAAAUCCCAGGGCUCAACCCUGGAACUGCCUCUAAUACUGGCAAUCUCGAGUCCGAGAGAGGUGAGUGGAAUUCCGAGUGUAGAGGUGAAAUUCGUAGAUAUUCGGAAGAACACCAGUGGCGAAGGCGGCUCACUGGCCCGGUACUGACGCUGAGGUGCGAAAGCGUGGGGAGCAAACAGGG